rnacentral:rRNA from 1 species
UACAGAGGGGGCAAGCGUUGUUCGGAAUUACUGGGCGUAAAGGGCGCGUAGGCGGCCUGUUAAGUCGGACGUGAAAUCCCUCGGCUCAACCGGGGAACUGCGUCCGAUACUGGCGGGCUUGAAUUCGGGAGAGGGAUGUGGAAUUCCAGGUGUAGCGGUGAAAUGCGUAGAUAUCAGGAGGAAGACCAGUGGCGAAGGCGGGUCUCUGGACAGUUCCUGACACUGAGGCACGAAGGCCAGGGGAGCAAACGGG